AAUUAUUUAUUGCAUAUUAUUUUUUUAUGAUUAAGGAUGAAUUUGAUAUUGAAUUUACAGUUUUAGGUUGUAGCUCGAAUUGGAAACCCAAUCCAAAUUACAACUCAAACCGAAAUGUUAACCUGAAUUUUCAAUCUACACUUAACUGAAUAGUGAAUCCGAACCAAGCCGAUUUAAAUUUAAUUCAGAUAGGUUUGUCUGGAUAGACUAAUCAAAUGCAAAUGGAUUGAAUUCUCCUAACUGAAUGGAUCAUAAUCCAAACCGAAACUCAGACAACUUGAACUGAAAUUCAAUUUACCCAUCCAGUGUAGUUUUCACCUAUGAAUAAAAUCAAAGCUGAAGUGUUUGAUGGUGAUUUUUGUGUAAGUUUGUCUUUCACACAUAUAUACAUCAUAAUAGUAAAAUAGUACUUCGUGUCUUAAGUAAUAUCUCAAUAUUUUUAUCCUAAAUGCAGAAGUGGAACUCAUUUAUUGAAUGAUCAAUUCCAUUAUUUUUUUUUCUUUAAUAAGUAAAGUUUAUUUCAUGAAAAAGAAAAACAAAGGUUCAAUCUGAAUCCGCUGGAGAUGUAUCCAGCCAAGAUACACGACGAACGAAAGCCAACUUAGCUAAUAAGAGUCAGAAAAACUGCAAAACUGCAAUGUCUCCGGGUUAGCUGCUGGAAAUACAUCAACAGCCCAUUCAAUUGAAGCAUCCACAGAAAAUGAAAGCCACUCACAAGGCCGCAAGGAUCAUUGAAUGCAAGGGCAAGGGUUUUCGAAACCAGUAGACUGCUAGCAACGUAGGCCCAAUUUUGCAAAAAAAAAUCACCAGCUCUGUUGCCUUCUCCGUAGAUAUGAGUGCAGUACAAGAACAUUUGGGAAAGAAUCUCUCUAGAAUUAAACCACUGAUUGUGAACAGACCAAGAUGGCCUGAAGUAAACUAUUUUCACCAAAUUUUCGUUAUCAUCUUAUUCGAACUCAAUUGGGCAGUUCUCACUGGAUGUAACUUAAAUCAUAUUCAAAUAAAUAGAUUUAUAUUCGAGGGGAGUUUGUGCUAGGUUUGGAUUUAGGGGUGCUUUUUUUUUUUUUUAAUGUUUGGAGUAGAUAGUUUAGCUAAUGUAAUAUGUAUAACAAGUUGAAGUGGUCAUAUGAGAAAUAAUAGAGAGAGCUCAAUAGAGCCCAUUAGGAGUAUAUAUGGGGGCUAAUCUGUGUUUAGGUGUAGCUUAGAUGUACUCGGGGGUAGCUUAGGUGGUCUCAUAGAAUACAUAGCGUAGUUAGGGUAGCUCAAGUGUGCUUGUGCUUGAAACACAAUCUAAACCUCAAAGUGCUUGAAACACAAUCUAAACCUCAAAUUGAAAAAUAUAGCAAAACAAAUAUAAAUAUAAAGAAUAUACAAUAUUUACAUGGUUUGACCUUUAGCUUACGUUCAUGGGAGCAAGCAAUCACUAACCCACUAUAUGAAUAAGUGGUUACAUGAUAUUUCACAUUAUACAAGAUGAAUAAUAUAAACUGGAUAGCUAUGUGAAAAUGUUUGGUGUUGUAAAGAGAGUGAUAUUAUAGUGGAGAAUAUUAUGAACGUGGAGAGUAGAAAUAGCCUCCAAAAAUAGAAAAAUGGGUGAUGAUCUAAAAGAUGGAGAGAAGAGAAGGGAGUGUGUGUGUGAGAGAGAGGAGGGAAGGAGAUGAUAGAAUGAAAGUUUGCCCUAAUGUGGGUGAAUAAGACAUUUAUAUAGUGGAGGCUAGUAGUAAUGACAGUGUUUAAAAGUUAGGGCUAGAUGUCAUUCUUAGGUAAAAAAGAAAAAAAUGUUUUUAAGGCUAUGUGUCAUAAUUAUGGAAAAAGGACAAGAUUAUUCUUUUUGUGCUAGAUUUAUUCUUUCUCAUAAAUAUUUUGAAGCAUCUAAGCUUGACCAUUGAUUUCCAAGCUAAUCCGACGUAGUAAAUUCUUCCAAAUGACAUUUUUAUAUUACUCUAGGUAGUUUGCCUAUUUUGCCAUUGUAGAUGUCCACAUGUCAUUCAUUUAUUAGUUUAAAAAUAUCAUUUCAAAUUUACCCCCAAACAAAAUCCUCUUAGUUUCUUGUGUUGAAAGAAUUGAAGCACAAGAAACUCAAAGAAAAAAAUUGGACUUGAUGACACAUGGCUGCUUCCAGUUGCUAAUUUACUUGUUUUGCAACCCUUUUGGAGUAGGUGAGGUAACCGAAGAAGCUUAGCUUUCCUUAAAUGAUUCCUGAUCAUACUUUCUAAAUUGACCAUCUUUUGGAAUCAUUGGCAUACUUAAGGGAUAUGCAAAUCUUAAGGAUAAGGACUGGGAGAAAAAUCCAGAUGUUACCCUCUAACAUACUUCUUGAAUUGACCAUCAGUUGGAAUCCCUGGUGUAUCGAGGGAUCUUAAAAUCUUAAGAAUGAUGACUAGGAGAAAAAUCAAGAGGUUACCUCUAACAUGCUCCUUGAAUUGCCCAUUAGUUGGAGCCCCUGAUGUUUGUUUAGGUGUUAUGAUUCCUUGAGCUAUGCGAUUUAUACCUCUUAGGUGUGGGUUAGCUGCUAUAAAAUACCUCAACUAUAAAAAAUUUUCUAGAAAAUCUUCCACAAAAAGAUCACUAUUUAUACAAAACAGUGAUUAUACUCAUAGGGUGUGUUUGGUUGUAGUAUUAAGGGGGUAUUAAAUUACUAUUUGUAUUAAGUUAAUACCAAUACUAUGUUUGGGAAAACAUCACAUGAGAUAAAAUUAUUGUAGC
rnacentral:lncRNA from 1 species